rnacentral:rRNA from 1 species
UACGAAGGGGGCUAGCGUUGUUCGGAAUUACUGGGCGUAAAGCGCACGUAGGCGGAUACUUAAGUUAGGGGUGAAAUCCCGGGGCUCAACCCCGGAACUGCCUUUGAUACUGGGUAUCUGGAGUCCGAGAGAGGUGAGUGGAAUUCCGAGUGUAGAGGUGAAAUUCGUAGAUAUUCGCAAGAACACCAGUGGCGAAGGCGGCUCACUGGCCCGAUACUGACGCUGAGGCACGAAAGCGUGGGGAGCAAACAGGG